AUAAGAUAGAAGAAAAGAAACAGCAGCUAUAUAGCCAGUCACACAGGGACUGGACCCCCAAGAGAAAGAAGAGGAUCUUUCAGAUAUUGAGAGGUGUGUCAUACAAGGCCUCACCAAGGUCACUGGAACUGGAAAGAGAGUAGCAUAAUGAGGAACCUUGAAGGAAACAAUUGUAGUGCCAUCAGUCAAUUCUCAAAAGAAGCUAAAUCCUGUUUCUUGUGGACAACCAUAACCUAGGAACCACCUUGUGACUUAGAACUGCACUGCUCCUUGCAUCUGUCUGCUUCCUGAAUGCCACCUACCAGCAUAUUGAGCUUCUGGGAUGUCAACAACCAUUUUGGAGCUAAAAGUUGACUUGACAUCUUUGAACAGUAGUAUAGAUCACUAGUCCUACUCCUCUU
rnacentral:lncRNA from 1 species